rnacentral:misc_RNA from 1 species
UGCAACUGCAUGACAGCUGCAG